CUUUUGUGGUAUUUCUAGAUCCUUUCCAAGGUAGUAGUGGUAUAUGCCUUCUCUCAAAGUAUGUGGUAUUUUUGGUAUGAGGCAUAGUGAUAUUGCCUUCUCUCUCACCCUACUCUAAUAAGGUUUUGAUAUCUGGAGCUCAUAGGUGGGAGACAGAUAAUACAUACUUACAAGACAUUUAUUGCAUAGUCAAACCAUGGAUCCAGAAGAACAAGUCAGUAAGUCAAAUCAAGAUGUGCAUGUGUGGCGAGUGAAUGGUGUAUGGUGAUGAUGGUGAUAACAAUGGUGAAAAUCUAAUUCUACUUUUGCUCUUUUAAGGGGAUACAUACCUUUCUUGCACUUUGAAGCUUUUUGAGGAGAAUGAGAUGCUCUAUAUUUUCUUUUUCUUUCCUCUCAGGUGGGUAUCUUAUACCCCUAAUUCUACUGUCGGACACUUGUCCAUUUUUACCUCUCGUCUCACUUUUUUCUUUUCUUUUGAGGCUCCGGGCACUUGCCCCUUUUUAUUUCCUCGUAUCCUUUUUUUAGAGCACUCAUCUCCUGAAAUAAUAUACCAAGUGGUAGUAACCAAGAUAACUCGAGCAUUUAUUUCACAUGGAAAAACAGAAAUGUUUUUGGCUAUUCUCUCCUAGAUUUGGAGUAGAAUACUUUUGGGUGGCUCUGGAGAUGGAAAUGAGUGGAUAUAUGUGGAUGCGUACUUCCGGAGUAGAAGCAGCAUGUGUGAGUGAACGUGCAAGUGAAUCUUGAUUUUAACCGCAUGACAAGCUCCUAAGGGUCUACACAGCUUGACCACACUCAAUGCUCAUAAGUAGU
rnacentral:lncRNA from 1 species